AGCUUUGCACAGUGGCAGUAUCGUAGCCAAUGUGGUUUAUCUGAGGCAUGAUUAUUGCUAAUUGAAAGAAAUAAAAAAGAAAUAUGUUAAGAUUUACCAAACUGUAGAUAUGUGCAGCUUGUUGUUAUCAAC
rnacentral:snRNA from 1 species